AACGAACGCUGGCGGCAGGCUUAACACAUGCAAGUCGAGCGGGCCCUUCGGGGUCAGCGGCCGACGGGUGAGUAACACGUGGGAACGUACCUCUUGGUUCGGAACAACUCCGGGAAACUGGAGCUAAUACCGGAUAAGCCCUUAGGGGGAAAGAUUUAUCGCCAAAAGAUCGGCCCGCGUCUGAUUAGCUAGUUGGUGGGGUAACGGCCCACCAAGGCGACGAUCAGUAGCUGGUCUGAGAGGAUGAUCAGCCACACUGGGACUGAGACACGGCCCAGACUCCUACGGGAGGCAGCAGUGGGGAAUAUUGGACAACGGGCGCAAGCCUGAUCCAGCCAUGCCGCGUGAGUGAUGAAGGCCUUAGGGUUGUAAAGCUCUUUUGUCCGGGAAGAUAAUGACUGUACCGGAAGAAUAAGCCCCGGCUAACUUCGUG
rnacentral:rRNA from 1 species